CAGGAUGAAAGCUCACAUAACAAUCCUUGCAGGACCCAACAUCAGCUGACAAUGGAGAGCAGGCAGCAAGUAGAGGAUACAGAACAUUACUGAGGCAAGGAGAGAGAAAACAGCAAAAGGAAAAUGGACAAACCCGGUGAUUUCUGAAGGGUAAAUUCACCAGCUUGCGUUCAGGAAAGCCUUUGUGCUUCAUAACGGCACAAAAGAGAGAAAGUGGCAUGGCUCAGGCUUCUCCCACCAAGAGCUAUGUAUGUCCUCAGAUCCUCCACUUUAUACAAACAUUAAAGAUAGAGGUUACUGGUUGUGUAUGAAA